AUGCAGCCGUCGAUAACUCAACACGAGUUAAUUCUUUUUAAUGAAUCAAAAUAUAUACCUGAUACUACUGCCGCAGUUCAUAGAUAGUACUAUGAGACUAUAGGUAAACCGUCUUGUCGGUAUUACGAAACAUGAUUAAUUCGCAAGAAGUGUCAAUGGAGCACGCGGCGAAACGAAACGAUAUUAUUUUAUUGCGACAUU